ACGAUCGAUAGUACGUACUGCGGCUCUUAGAAAAAAUUAUAUUUUGCAGGUCGAAAUAAGAAGCGUAUCGUACAGGACAAAAAAAAUUGGGCUACUCGAGGGCUAUCUGCGUUAACCGUUCCUAAGUUAGAAGUCAUAAGUUCAAAUUCGAUGACGAGGAUUCUUCAUUACCCAUUCAAGCCGUCUCCAACCAUUAUUAGAAAUAACAAAGUAGAUCAUCUCUAGGACUAUUCUUGUAGAACAGUGGCAUUAACCGUCAAUUUAUAACGCCCCCACAACUGAAAGGGCGAGAGUGUUCUGUGUUGGGAUUCGUACCCUUGAUCAGCAAAUUGCAAGUCGAGCGCCCUAACCACCAGGCCAUGCCAGGAUUCUUUAAAUAUCAAUAAAUCUGUUAAUACAAUUUCAAGACACUCUGUAAGCGGAAUGUAGUAGAGUUAGCUGAAAUUUCUGGAACUAUGAUACUGACCAACUUAUCAAGUAAAAUCAAAAUAUUAAUAGCGUUAUUAGAUGUCAGAAGAAUAUCAAAA